UGCCGCCUACGGGAGGCAGCAGUGGGGAAUAUUGCACAAUGGGGGAAACCCUGAUGCAGCGACACCGCGUGAGUGAAGAAGUAUUUCGGUAUGUAAAGCUCUAUCAGCAGGGAAGAUAAUGACGGUACCUGAGUAAGAAGCCCCGGCUAACUACGUGCCAGCAGCCGCGGUAAUACGUAGGGGGCAAGCGUUAUCCGGAUUUACUGGGUGUAAAGGGAGCGUAGACGGCAUGGCAAGUCUGAAGUGAAAGCCCGGGGCCCAACCCCGGGACUGCUCUUGGAACUGCAUGGCUGGAGUACAGGAGG
rnacentral:rRNA from 1 species